AGCGAACGCUGGCGGCAUGCCUUACACAUGCAAGUCGAACGGUAACGCGGGGCAACCUGGCGACGAGUGGCGAACGGGUGAGUAAUGCAUCGGAACGUGCCUGGUAGUGGGGGAUAACUGCUCGAAAGAGCAGCUAAUACCGCAUACGACCUGAGGGUGAAAGGGGGGGAUCGCAAGACCUCUCGCUAUCAGAGCGGCCGAUGUCGGAUUAGCUAGUUGGUGGGGUAAAGGCCCACCAAGGCAACGAUCCGUAGCUGGUCUGAGAGGACGACCAGGCACACUGGGACGGAGGCACGGCCCAGACUCCUACGGGAGGCAGCAGUGGGGAAUUUUGGACAAUGGACGCAAGUCUGAUCCAGCCAUGCCGCGUGCGGGAAGAGGGCCUUCGGGUUGUAAACCGCUUUUGUCAGGGAAGAAAUCUUCUGGGCUAAUACCCUGGGAGGAUGACGGUACCUGAAGAAUAAGCACCGGCUAACUACGUGCCAGCCGCCGCCGUAACAC
rnacentral:rRNA from 1 species